AACGAACGCUGGCGGCAUGCCUAACACAUGCAAGUCGAACGAGACCUUCGGGUCUAGUGGCGCACGGGUGCGUAACGCGUGGGAACCUGCCUUUAGGUUCGGAAUAACUCAGAGAAAUUUGAGCUAAUACCGGAUGAUGUCUUCGGACCAAAGAUUUAUCGCCUUUAGAUGGGCCCGCGUUGGAUUAGCUAGUUGGUGGGGUAAAGGCCUACCAAGGCGACGAUCCAUAGCUGGUCUGAGAGGAUGAUCAGCCACACUGGGACUGAGACACGGCCCAGACUCCUACGGGAGGCGGCAGUGGGGAAUAUUGGACAAUGGGCGAAAGCCUGAUCCAGCAAUGCCGCGUGAGUGAUGAAGGCCUUAGGGUUGUAAAGCUCUUUUACCCGAGAUGAUAAUGACAGUAUCGGGAGAAUAAGCGCCGGCUAACUCCGUG
rnacentral:rRNA from 1 species